rnacentral:misc_RNA from 1 species
AGAGAGAGAGAGAAGAGAGAAGAAGAGAGAGUUUAUUACAUGCAUUUCUUAGCUGUUACUCUAUUCUAACUGGCACUCAAGUUUUUAAUCCAAAAUACCCUCACAAAUCUUCCCAAACCAUGUCCUGAUUCCUCCAUUAACGGUCAUUUCAUCUCUCUCUCUCUCUCAUACACAUACACACACAUCUUUUCCACCUUCCUCCUCUUUCUUUUUUCUUUCUCUGAUUGCUUCUAUAUUUAACCACUUGAGGAUAUGUUGUGGUUUAGAUAAAGAGAUAUAGAAUCUAAUAGGCACAUGAUAACAAAUGGGG